rnacentral:lncRNA from 1 species
GGUUUUUCUUUGUAUUGUCGUCACCAGUGCCAGGUACACAUAAGUGCUUAAUAAAUAAUAUUAACAAAUUAAUUAGUAAAUACAGCCGAUUAACUAGGACCUUUAAGGAUGGGGAGAUCCACCUCCGGGAUCACUCCAUUCCACCUUUAGACUUGCCCACCCAAGAAAAGGAAAGCAACUGGAGGACAGGGCCCGCAUUACGUAGAGAACUGAGGUAGCUGAACAGAAAGGUGGGCUAGGGGUCAGAAAGAUUUGAGGAUUCAGAAGUCAUCUACUUCACCUCUGGGUUUCAGUUUCCCCAUUUUCAAAACAGACAAAAAGAGCACUUCUGCCUCCCAGGAAGGUGGCGAGGCCCACGAAACAAAAUAAGAAAAGCUCUGGUAAGCCGUAACGCGUGGUGGGUUCGCUGCAGCUAUUAUUACCGCCCCAGUAGGGGCUUCCUCUAUUUUUGCUUUGACUUCCGGGCUCGACCCCGGUAGCCCAUUCACGCCCACUGGACUCUUCUUGGAGGCUCCGCUUAGGAACUACCGCGAGUGCUCUACGACCACCCUUUCGGGGACGCCCACCGCUUGCUUCCUGGACCCCUCAACAACCUCCUCACCCCUUAGCUAAGCAACUGCCUACCAGUCCAAGCGCUCCCGCAUCACCACGGCAACCCGAUACUACAGCAACCGUCAAGCACGUCCCGUCGUUCUACUGCACAGGCGCAGAGCCGGUUACGGCUCACGGGACCGCUCACGUGUCUGCGUCACCUGCGGGACCGAGACUUUCUCAGCCCCACCCCCUCGAAGGCAUCUUUCUCGUCGCACGCGCGGUGUUCCACCCUAUGCUCCGCCUUCUUAUCCUAAAGUUCGAGGCUGAGAAUAAUACGCUUGCUCACGUGGGUAAAUCGUCAGCUCGGGAGCGUCGCCGGGGUGGGGCUUUGACUUUGACCCUGAGUCAGCUAUGAAGAAACCGAGGCUGAGAGAUUAAAUGACCCAUCCAGCAAUCAAGUCUUCCUGACCCCAAACCCAAUGCUCCAUCCAUUGUAAGUAACAUCUUGCUGUCAAAGAGUAGAUUAGUUUAGCAAAGCAUCAUCCAGCAAAUAGCUCUAAGAAGAGACCAUAUGUCCAGGGAAGACCACCUGAGAGUAGCUCAUGGGAGCAUUGUGAUACCUAUCACUAGGAGACAUUAGUGG